UACGGGGGGAGCAAGCGUUGUUCGGAUUUACUGGGCGUAAAGGGCGCGUAGGCGGCCACCGCAAGUCAGUUGUGAAAUCUCUGGGCUUAACCCAGAACGGUCAGCUGAUACUGCGGGGCUAGAGUGCAGAAGGGGCAACUGGAAUUCUCGGUGUAGCGGUGAAAUGCGUAGAUAUCGAGAGGAACACCUGCGGCGAAGGCGGGUUGCUGGGCUGACACUGACGCUGACAGCGCGAAAGCUAGGGGAGCAAACGGG
rnacentral:rRNA from 1 species